CACACGAGCACGCGCGCCGUAAACGCGGCGGUGCCUCUCUCUCACACGCUCGCUUUCUGUCUCUGUCUGUGUUCUUUGCUCUGCUGCGGAAGCGAAGCAUCUACUCUACGCACUCCGCGCACAUCAACACCGCCGCCCCAAGCCUCUUCGGGCGUCUCGACGCGCUCUGGUUCUUCGCGUUUUGUGUGUGACCUCCUCGAUCGCUCGCUUGCCUUCUCUCUGUGCAUUGCGACUUCUGCACGUUUUUUUUUUUCGGUGUUGCGCUUCGAGGAAUGGCGUCUGUCGGCAGUUUUGUGCACACUACCGACCCUGCGGUGGCUGCCCUGGAGUCGCCGCCGUUACACACCGAAACCCGUUUGCGGCGUCCGAGCGCUGACUCGCAGAGCACGAGCUAUUGGAACCGUUUUUCGGGCAGCAUGCUGGAUAACUCGAAGUCGAAUGGUGGCCCCAAGCAUGCAUCUACUUGUCACCCCUGCGCGCCACACGACCUACCCUCGAGUGUGACGCGCUUUCUCUGCCUCAGCAGCUCGUCGAGCCCGGCUGCAGCCAAGCAUCUGCGGCGCCAGCUGCUGGUCGUGCGCGACUGCUGCGUCACACUCGGCAACAAGGUAAAGGGCGGCGAGCUGCUUUCGCUUGGCGGAGGUCAAAUUUCGCGCAAAAUGGAGGCGACGGCGGACUUCAACAGCUGCCUCGGCGUCCUCUUUGCCGCUUCUCUCAUCUUCACGGGUGAGACGGAGGGCGUUGCCAAGGACACCCUAUGCAGCGUCGUGGCGAUGCUCAAGUCCGCCCAAGAGAGCGGCGACGAGAAGGUCUUCCGUGCCGCCGUUGUCAACAUAGUCAACCGCAUCCUCCUUUGCACGCCGCUGAAGCCGCCUGCGCGCAACGCUGCCAAGGAGGCGGCACGGAAGAACGCUGGGAAGCAGCAGGAACACGCUAGACAGGAGCCGAAGUUGAAGGACGAGUGCCUCGACUUUCUGACUGUCGAGGACGGUGCUCCGGUGCUGCUGGAAGGUGUGUGGAAGCGCUGGCUGCGCUACUUCGAGGAUGGCUACGUUCGCUACGUGGAGAAGCUCAUGACUGAAGAGCACCAGGCCUUGGAAGCUGCGGCGGCCGCAGCCGAGGCAGAUGAUGAGGACAAAGACGAGGAAGCCCAGUAUGUCGACGGCGUACCCGCCACAGCAACCCAGACCAUAUCUACGGUUCCGCUCUUCACCCCGUGGCAGGAUUAUUGGAAGUCGUCGACGAGCGCCUAUGCGCAGUUCUGCUACUUCCUGCUCGCCAUCUUCUUUGUGCGCACCAAGGACUUCUCGCUCAACUACCUUGCCCGUGUCACGAAGCUAGUACAGUACUUCACGUACCAGCUGGAGUCUAAGGACGGUGAGCCCAUUGCGGUGAGGACGGACACGGAUGCGGAGGAGGAAAGUGCGCAGUCGGAGGACGAAGACGACGAGACUGCACCGCCGCAGCAGGAGGAGCGACAGGAGAAGCGGGCGCACUCCUUGCCGAUGCCCGAGUACGACAAGGCCGUUACUCAGCGCAGAUUUACGAUGGCUCGACGGUCUGGUUCGCGGGGGCUCGCGCCUACGGUGGUGUCGGUCAAGAAGGCUGAGAAACCGCGCCGGCGUUGUCACAAGUGCUUCCUAACGGACGUGCUUCCAGGAGAACUGCGCCCGUCGGUCGAAGCGGUGCGGCAGGAGGAGGCGGAAGCGGCUGCCAGGGACUCAGAGGAGCACUCGCACCUGCCCCUGGUGCGUCGCUCGGACAAUCUGGACCUCUGCGACCCCUCGACCACCCCGCAGCGCGAGCGCGAGCAGCUCGACGCCUGUGACGCGUCAACGGAGUCCGUGCAGGGCGUGUGGGACCCCGCAGCAGCGGAGUCACUCGAAGGGUCAGAGGAGCAGCGCAGCGUAUCCAACGCGAUGGCACUGGCGACGCCAAAGGAGGACGCCGAGAGCCUUUAAAAGACCUUGUUCAUACUACCAGCUGGGUCGCAAGGCGCCUUUGCUCCUCACGUGGCGUCCGCUGCCCAGUGUCACGAGCCACUUCCUUUGCCUUGCGGGUUCUCUCCUCCGUAUCCGAUUGCGGCGCCUCUAACUGCGUGGCGUCCUCUUCGCCUACACACGUCUGUGGUCGCUGUUAUCGGCGCUGCUGUUCUUGACCUCCUUCGUUUCUUUUCGACUCGCCUGCUCGUUUCACGUCUGCAAACGCUGGCCCACGCCAUGACGCGCAUGCCAAUGCAUCAACGCUCCGAAACAAAGGAAGCAGCGCUCCAGCGCCGUCACCCAUCCAGCAGCCCUUCUUCAUGGACACGCAUCCAGGCUAUCCGUGUGUGCCUUCCCGACCCGCAGGGCGCACACGAGCGGUGAAACAGGGCAGCAUCCGCCCGUCCCCCUUCGCGUCCCACUACGAGACCCGCCCCCACGCUCUUCAAGCUGCCCACGGUGCGUGACCUCGACGUGGCACUCCGUGAAAUCAGCUGCGGCUCCUCCCCGGGCGUCGACGAGGGUGACGGUGAGGCCAUCGACCCCCCUCCCGGUGCACGGCAGCGGGGGGAGCGCUGCUGGCAAUCGCCAACCAGAGCGCCACCAACAGCCGCGUCGCUGGUGCAUGGAAAGGGGAGACUCCCCUUCUACCUCAUUCCCCCCUCCUAAGGCCGCACAACCCCGAUGACGCUCCCGCGUCCCGCCGCCCCCGUUGCACGGAACAGCACUCUGCGCCUGUUAACCGAGCAAACAAUCUAGCGAGGACUGCGCGAUUAUCUGCAAAACAGACCCCCACCACAGCAGUUUGUCUAACGUCCUCAGCACUUCACCGCAGACCCUCCACCCCCCCCCCUCCUCCCCCUUCCGCUGCCGCCGGACUCUCUCCUCCACAAUGCCGUCAGGCACCAGACGGGCACCGUGACUGGAGCAGCGUUUGUGGACGCUACGCGUGCGCGUGUGGCUGGGCAGAUGACGGCGCUGCCAUCACGGCACCGAGGAGGCUCAGCGUAGACCUUCGCCUAACUCGCUGGACCAUGAACGCGUCUUGCGAUGGUGGCGCCCGUGCUGGCCUCGAGAAGGCUGCUUCCGAGGCGGCCUUCCCCUUCAUCACGUGGAGUGGUGUCGCUGAGUGUGGUGCUCGGCAAGGCACACGGACUGCGCCACGCCCUCUGUGCUGAUGACCGCACAUUCCCGAAGCCCUCCACAGCCGACGAUUUCAUAGGCGCCACACUACCGUCCGCCCUCUGGAAGGCAGAGCACUGCACACGGGAGCGCUUCGUGGGUGUGUGGGCGCCCCCUCCCCCUUCCCCCCAGGAGACAGCACACCGUGCUUGGCGCGCGACACCGCUGGCACGGCGCAUCGCAUCGCAAGGCGGCGCGACGGGGUCUACACGGAUGAGCCCCACAGUGCGUGCGUGCGAAGCAAGCGGCAUCCCCUACGUGCGACCUGGCUGCGCGGAUGGGGCGCUGACGCCGGCGGCAUGACGAGGGCAGCCCGAGUGACACGGCCGAGUGCUCCAGACUCCGCACUGUGAAGGGCGCCCGCACCGUACUGUGGAAUGCCGCGGCUUGAGGUGGUUUUGGGCGGAACGUGGCAUGCAGGCAGUGUGCGCAUGGCCUGCGAGAGCCCUGACCUGAGGCUGGCCCGCUUCCUCCCGGAGCUGAUGCGGCGCCUGCACGCAGACCACCCCCUCGUGCCCGCACGACAGACGCCACGGCUGCUGCCCUCGAGCGCGACCGUGGGCGCAGCAGGCAUGCGAAGGGGGAAAGGGGAAGAGCUCGGCAGACGCUGUGCCCGAUCCGACGGCAGGACGCUUCGUUGUAGACGACCACGAUGAAGCCGUGGUGCCACGGAGGCCGGUGAGCUGUGGUUGUGCACGCGUCUGUUUGUUGACGUGUUCGAGGCGCAGCGGACGCGCUGGCGCGGAAAGCGUCUCUACUAGGGAUGACGAGGAAGGGGGGCCACAGAUCUCUGUGGUAUCCGGGGUUCAGCGCCAGGCCCUCGCGACGUUGGUGGCCGGCUCGUCAGUGCGCAGUAGCGCCACCUGUGUGGGCGCCCCGUUCGUGGGUGGCGCCGGGUGGGGGCGAGCCGGCGCGUGCUCUCCGAUGGGCAAGGCACUAACGUCGCUCGAGCGCAUCUCACCAGGCCAUCGCCCUGCCCACCUGCCCGGGUGGCCGGAGCCGCGCCGAGGGGACCGAACAGGGGUGGUGGCCGGCAGGAUGGUGCGGUGGCUGUGAGGCGACCUCCGAGGCGCUUGGGCAGACAAGGCUGGAGGAAGAGGCGGUGCUCAUGCAACAGGGCCGGUGCAUUCCCGUAGUGCGUGUGUCUGCGACUGCAUGUCGCCGCUGAAUGAGUGCGUUAGUGGGCCCGGGGGUGGAUUGGGGUUUCGCUCAGGCUGCAUAGCCGAAUGAACCCGUCCAAGAAGCUGUGCGUGUACCCGUUCUGUUCCUGAUACAAUCUUUAGCUCAUCUCCCUCACGUGUCUCUCUUCGUCCUUCCAGGCAUGAUCAGGGCGUGCGGGAGUGUUGUUGGUUCCAACGAGAGCGUGCAGACGGUGCACCCGACUCUCUGCCAGCGUUGUUUGUGUGAUGAGCCGAGGCGGUAGUAACGAGGGAUGCGAAAGCGCGGUUGUUUAUCUUUCUUUGUUGUUGUUAGGUGGGUGAGUAGGGAGGAUGCGGCGGGCGGAUGGUGCGCGCCUGAAGCGGAUGCGUUCACUAUUUUUCGACGGAGUGCGCGGCAUGUGGCGACGUCUGUGAGCGAUAGCCGUUGUGUUUCUUAUCUGUUUUGUUUCGGCUUCCUUUUCUCCUUGUCCCGUCCGCACGCGGUGGCUGCUGUGCCGUCGAUUGAUUUACGUAUGUUCGCCCAUAGGGUCUCGCUCGGUCGACUGUCCUACGGGAGGGGCGGGUGGGCACAGAAGGAAGCGGCACAUGCAGCACCUGGGCUUGUGCGCAUCAAUCUCUGUGUGUGUGUCUGUCCGUGCCCGCCGUCUUGCUUGUCGGCUCAUUUUGUGUUUCCUUUUCGCGUCUGCGCUCACGUGUUCCCGCUUGUCAUGCCCCUGUGCUUGUCGAGACGCUAUAGCGCCUGGCCAUUUGUGUUUGGUGGCGGCCACACUGCCCUGUACUCUUCGUUUCUUUCGUUCUCUGUGUAUGCGUGUUGAUCGUUUACCCAUCCUUCUCUUGUCUUCGCCAUCUCUAUGUUGUCUUCUCUUCUACAUGAAG
rnacentral:misc_RNA from 1 species